UGUAACUCAGCCUGGGGACGUGCCAGACCGCGUAGGUGUAACUCAGCCUGGGGACGUGUCAGACCGCGUAGGUGUAACUCAGCCUGGGGACGUGCCAGACCGCGUAGGUGUAACUCAGCCUGGGGACGUGCCAGACCGCGUAGGUGUAACUCAGCCUGGGGACGUGUCAGACCGCGUAGGUG